rnacentral:rRNA from 2 species
GCGCGUGCUAUACAUGCAAGUCGAGCGAACUGAUUAGAAGCUUGCUUCUAUGACGUUAGCGGCGGACGGGUGAGUAACACGUGGGCAACCUGCCUGUAAGACUGGGAUAACUUCGGGAAACCGAAGCUAAUACCGGAUAGGAUCUUCUCCUUCAUGGGAGAUGAUUGAAAGAUGGUUUCGGCUAUCACUUACAGAUGGGCCCGCGGUGCAUUAGCUAGUUGGUGAGGUAACGGCUCACCAAGGCAACGAUGCAUAGCCGACCUGAGAGGGUGAUCGGCCACACUGGGACUGAGACACGGCCCAGACUCCUACGGGAGGCAGCAGUAGGGAAUCUUCCGCAAUGGACGAAAGUCUGACGGAGCAACGCCGCGUGAGUGAUGAAGGCUUUCGGGUCGUAAAACUCUGUUGUUAGGGAAGAACAAGUACGAGAGUAACUGCUCGUACCUUGACGGUACCUAACCAGAAAGCCACGGCUAACUACGUGCCAGCAGCCGCGGUAAUACGUAGGUGGCAAGCGUUAUCCGGAAUUAUUGGGCGUAAAGCGCGCGCAGGCGGUUUCUUAAGUCUGAUGUGAAAGCCCACGGCUCAACCGUGGAGGGUCAUUGGAAACUGGGGAACUUGAGUGCAGAA